rnacentral:rRNA from 1 species
UACAGAGGGGGCAAGCGUUAUUCGGAAUUAUUGGGCGUAAAGGGCGCGUAGGCGGCUUUGCAAGUGGCGGGGGAAAUCCCUCGGCUUAACCGAGGAACUGCCUGCCAGACUGCAUUGCUUGAGUCCGGGAGAGGUGAGUGGAAUUCCCAGUGUAGCGGUGAAAUGCGUAGAUAUUGGGAGGAACACCAGUGGCGAAGGCGGCUCACUGGACCGGAACUGACGCUGAGGCGCGAAAGCGUGGGGAGCAAACAGGAUUAGAAACCUGGUAGUCC